CUCCUCCGCCGCUCCCAAGCGGCCAAUACCGGUGUGUCUGUGUGUUUAUCUUUUUUCACGAAACGACGCGUUGAUAUGGUUUCUAAGGCGUUGAGACGAUUUUGAUGAAAUUUUGUAUUUAUUUCAAAGGGAAAACAAAAAUUGUGGUUGUGAAACAAAGUCGUGGCUUUUUCUCAUAUUUCAUAUUGUUGAAGGACCUAUAUAUUAAAUAUAAAGGUUAAAGCUUAUUAAAAACGUGAAAAAGACAGAAUCAUAGUAAACAACAACAGAACUAAUUAAAAUAUAACAUCAAACUUAGGAAGUUUUAAGGAAAUAUAUUUUAACUACACGUUACCACUUAGCACGAGUAUGAUUCUGAUUUCUGAUUUAUAUUUUACCUUAAUAGUGUCGUUCUAGUGAAAAGCUAAUUACCAUAUGCAGUUUUGGAGUAUGGAACCAAAUCUAUCGAUGAGACCACAUGUGACAACAAUAGUAAUCAGACGUGGAAGCGUAUUGCCUUCAUAGUAUUACAAACAAGCCAAAAAAGGUUAGAUUUCGAAGCAAUUAAUGUGCCAUUUAAUUCGGUUGAUGCAAAUAUCAAAAGCCCCAACUGUAUAUAUGACUCUGUGUGGACUAAAUUGUUUCCAACCCUACAAAACUGAUGAACGUUACUUGGAAUUUGGACCGUGGCCCAAUUGGUUACGUUUGGCGCUGGUCCUAAACCAACUCUACCCUUUGCACACGUGAGUAUAAUAGUCAAAGACCGAGUGGGCCAAAUUUGUUUGUGAAAUACACGUCCACGGCCCAAUAAACUUCUUUCGCGUCCGAGUUUGUGCAAUCUCACUUUAUCCAUCCACACGCAUUGGAAAAACACGUGACAAAGGACACACAGUUAAAUAAAAUCGAAGGUAUCUUCAACUUUGAACUACUCACUCACUUCAUUUACCACACGUAUGGGUUACUGUAAAUUUUGCUGCCCCAUAAUUAAAAAGUUUCCAAAGCGAUAAAUUGAUUUAAAAAAUAUUUCCUAAAUAUGAUGGAGGGAAUAUUUAAAUUGUUUUUGGUGAAACUUUAGGGAAAAGCUGAUACGGGUGGGGUGUGAAAAAGAGACAAAAGGAGAGAAUUUAGAAAUGAGGUGGUGAAGGUAUGUUGGAUUGUUGUGUGGGGGGUCGACGAUGAUAUUUGGUCAAUAAAGCAUACCGCAUUAUUGGACAGACACAUUUACAUAUUUUUACCACCCCCUUUCAUCUUACUCUUAUUAUUAUUUCCGUGUACUUAAAAGAACAAUGUUGUAUCCACCACAAUAAACUAAAGUGACCAGAAACCUAAUUAUUAGAUAUGGGUCAUUUCAACUCC
rnacentral:lncRNA from 1 species